rnacentral:rRNA from 1 species
UACGGAGGGUGCGAGCGUUGUCCGGAAUCAUUGGGCGUAAAGGGCGCGUAGGUGGCCCGGUCAGCGUGCGGUGAAAGCUCGGGGCUCAACCCCGAGUCGGCCGUGCGAACUGCUGGGCUCGAGCACUGUAGAGGCAGGCGGAAUUCCGGGUGUAGCGGUGGAAUGCGUAGAGAUCCGGAAGGACACCGGUGGCGAAGGCGGCCUGCUGGGCAGUGGCUGACACUGAGGCGCGACAGCGUGGGGAGCAAACAGG